rnacentral:rRNA from 1 species
AAUGAACGCUGGCGGCGUGCUUAACACAUGCAAGUCGUGCGCGAAGGUGGCUUCGGCCACCGGAGAGCGGCGGACGGGUGAGUAACACGUGGGUAAUCUGCCUAGGAGUGGGGAAUAACCUGGGGAAACUCGGGCUAAUACCGCAUACGUCGUCGGGACUGCGGUCCCGACAAGAAAGCUGGCCUCUGCUUGCAUGCUAGCGCUCCUAGAGGAGCCCGCGGCUGAUAGCUAGUUGGUGAGGUAAUGGCUCACCAAGGCGACGAUCAGUAGCCGGCCUGAGAGGGUGAACGGCCACACUGGGACUGAGACACGGCCCAGACUCCUACGGGAGGCAGCAGUGGGGAAUAUUGGACAAUGGGACGAAAGCCUGACUCCAGCAACGCCGCGUGGAGGACGAAGGU